UUUAGUGAUGAGAAGAGGGUCGUAUGAUAUUAUGAUUAGCGCUGGAAAAACUGAGC
rnacentral:snoRNA from 1 species